AUACGGAGGAUCCGAGCGUUAUCCGGAUUUAUUGGGUUUAAAGGGUGCGCAGGCGGGAUGUUAAGUCGGCGGUGAAAUUUUGCAGCUCAACUGUAAAAGUGCCUUCGAUACUGGCUUUCUUGAGUGUGGAUGAAGUAGGCGGAAUUUGUGGUGUAGCGGUGAAAUGCAUAGAUAUCACGAGGAACACCGAUUGCGCAGGCAGCUUACUAAACUACUACUGACGCUCAGGCACGAAGGCAUGGGGAUCUAACAGGAUUAGAUACCCUGGUAGGCCACGCAGUAAACGAUGAGUACUAGCUGUUUGCGAUACAAUGUAAGCGGCUGAGCGAAAGCAAUACGUAAUCCACCUGGGGCGUGCGUUCGCAAGAAUGAAACUCAAAGGAAUUGACGGGG
rnacentral:rRNA from 1 species